UACGAAGGGUCCAAGCGUUAUCCGGAUUUAUUGGGUUUAAAGGGUGCGUAGGCGGCUUAUUAAGUCAGUGGUGAAAGACUUCAGCUUAACUGAAGAACUGCCAUUGAUACUGAUGAGCUUGAGUACAGUUGAGGUGGGCGGAAUGUGUCAGUGUAGCGGUGAAAUGCUUAGAUAUGACACAGAACACCGAUUGCGAAGGCAGCUCGCUAAACUGUAACUGACGCUGAGGCACGAAAGCGUGGGGAGCAAACAGG
rnacentral:rRNA from 1 species